CAAUAGCGUAUAUUAAAGUUGUUGCAGUUAGAACGCUCGUAGUCGGAUUUCGGGGCGGGCCGACCGGUCUGCCGAUGGGUACGCACUGGUCGGCGCGUCCUUCCUUCCGGAGACCGUGCCUACUCUUAACUGAGCGGGGGCGGGAGACGGAUCGUUUACUUUGAAAAAAUCAGAGUGUUUCAAGCAGGCAGCUCGCUCUUGCAUGGAUUAGCAUGGGAUAAUGAAAUAGGACUUUGGUGCUAUUUUGUUGGUUUCGAACACCGAAGUAAUGAUUAAAAGGGACAGUCAGGGGCACUCGUAUUCCGCCGAGAGAGGUGAAAUUCUCAGACCAGCGGAAGACGAACUACUGCGAAANCANNNGCCAGGGAUGUUUUCACNGA
rnacentral:rRNA from 1 species